UACAGAGGUCCCAAGCGUUGUUCGGAUUCACUGGGCGUAAAGGGUGCGUAGGUGGUGGGGUGAGUCUGAUGUGAAAUCUUCGAGCUUAACUCGGAAAUGGCAUUGGAUACUACUCUGCUAGAGGUUUGGAGGGGGGACUGGAAUUCUCGGUGUAGCAGUGAAAUGCGUAGAUAUCGAGAGGAACACCAGUGGCGAAGGCGAGUCCCUGGACAACACCUGACACUGAGGCACGAAAGCUAGGGGAGCAAACAGG
rnacentral:rRNA from 1 species